rnacentral:misc_RNA from 1 species
GUGAGUCAUCGAAUCUUUGAACGCACAUUGCGCCCUUUGGCAUCCCGAAGGGCAUGCCUGUUCGAGCGUCAUUUCACCAAUCAAGCCCCCGGGCUUGGAGUUGGGUGCCGUCCCGCCCUCGCGCGCGGACGCUCCCUAAAACCAUCGGCGGUGCGGUACCGGCCCUUGAGCGCAGCAGAUGUUCGCUCUGUGGGAACCGGUGCGGCGGCGGCCGUGACGAACGACCUUCUAGGUUGACCUCGGAUCAGGUAGGGAUACCCGCUGAACUUAAGCAUAUCAAUAAGCGGAGGA